UACGGAGGGAGCUAGCGUUGUUCGGAAUUACUGGGCGUAAAGCGCGCGUAGGCGGUUACUCAAGUCAGAGGUGAAAGCCCGGGGCUCAACCCCGGAACUGCCUUUGAAACUAGGUGACUAGAAUCUUGGAGAGGUCAGUGGAAUUCCGAGUGUAGAGGUGAAAUUCGUAGAUAUUCGGAAGAACACCAGUGGCGAAGGCGACUGACUGGACAAGUAUUGACGCUGAGGUGCGAAAGCGUGGGGAGCAAACAGGG
rnacentral:rRNA from 1 species